ACCACAGGGCGGGCAAUUAAGAGACAGGGCGCCCGGGAAAUUUGAGAGUUUGGGGACCCGUCGGAGCGGGGCCUGAAGCCUUCCAGAGACGCACCUGGGCUGCGGUGUCGCUUGCUCCGCCUACUCACGUAGGCUGGAGUCCUAGUCGGAGUCUGGGUGUCGGGGGACCACGCUCUGUCUUGCAGUCUUGACGGCACACUCUGGCUUAUCCUCCAGUAUCCCUUACGAAGAGUGGUGAUGUGGGCCAUUCUUGGUCAGUCGCAGCCGUGGGACGCAAUGUGUAAGCCCCGAGAGGGGAGUAAAGGACACAGGGAGCUCCCUUCGUAAUUGAUCUUCAGAGUUCAUCACCUUAGGCUUCUUUCGGGAGACAGGGGAAGGGAGGGAGAAAGAGAAACAUCUGUUGGUUGUCUCACAAGCCCCCAGCUGGGGACCUGGCCGACAACCCAGGCAUUCGCCCUGACCAGGAAUCAAACUGGUGACCUUUCAGUUUGCAGACUGGACCUCAGUCCACUGACCCACACCAGCCAGGGUGCAUCUUAUGGUCCGAAAAGUAUGGGUAAGAAGUAUGGCAACAGCUGCAGAGCCAGGUAAAAUAAGGGGCCUGAAUGCAUUGGUGAGUGGGAGCUGUCUACCCCUGCCAGAAAGCCACACAUGAACAACACCUGCUGGCCACUGCACAGUUCUUCUGGAAGACACCUGGGCUGGGACUCAUAUCCAAGAUACAUCUCCCCUCAACCCCUCAAACCAGAACAGCUCCUGGCUACAUAAAUCUAGCAUCUCCCCCUAUUUGCCACCACUCUGCCAUCCCAGAUGAACAGGGGCUUUCAGUGUUAAAAUCUGGGCCACAUGCUGCUCAAAGGCCUUCUUCUUCAUCUAUGACUAGCCAUAGGUUCUAAGAUGGCUGCAGAACCUGAGCCAGGCAUGACUAGUGAGGAACAGACCACAAUUUCUGAACUGAGAUCCUCUCUCUCUCUACACUGACCAGAGCCUACCUUGUUGGAUCCAAAAGAGACUACCUCUCUUCCUUCAAGGAAGGCUCUGCACCGCUGUCCCCAAGACCCAGUAACCUUUCCCACCACACCCACCCAGGCUCUGGGCCUCACCCUCCAAUAUGCAUCUGCUUUGUAGAACCCUGAUAACAAUGAGUAGGAUGAUGUGUUUAUGAGUCAGUUCCUCCAAACCACUUGGGAGGCUCCCUAAGUCAGGGGCCAUGUUUAUUCACUUUAUACCCCCAUUCCUCGGUGCCUGGUCCAGCGAAUGCUGUUCAUCAAUGUGUGAUCAGUUAGAGAGGGAAGAAGGCAGUGCGCCCAUCCAUAUUGUGAGCUGUCUGAGAGCAGCGCUUCACCUCCUAACUGUAUCCUUCUCCUUCUCCUCCUCCCACAGUGAAACUAGAUGCAAGAUUGGGAGCAGGAUGGGAAUGUAGACAAGUGACGGCUUCAUUCAAGAUUAAAAGAUCUCCACCUGUAGGAUUUCUGCGUAAUAUCUUUAUUUAGCUCAGGAAGAUGUUUCCUCACAUUUCUGGAUACAUGGGUAUGAAUUUACUAUAUUCAGUAAAUUGUUAAGCUUUUACAUAUGAUAAGUGCAAACAUGCAAGUACAAUGUAGGCUAAAAUGAAAAGCUCCUUGCAUAAAAAUAUUUUUUAAAAGACACAUUAGUACAAGGCAUAGAGAAAGGAGACCAACACAAGGUGACUGAAUUAUCAUCCCCCUACCCGGUCCUGAUGCCUAAAUAAAGGACUCUCUCAUCUGUGCUCUUCUAAGACAGGUCCCCAGCUCCUCCUGGACAGGAACAGAGGCCUCAUAAG